GAUGAACGCUGGCGGCGUGCCUAAUACAUGCAAGUCGAGCGAACAGACGAGGAGCUUGCUCCUCUGACGUUAGCGGCGGACGGGUGAGUAACACGUGGAUAACCUACCUAUAAGACUGGGAUAACUUCGGGAAACCGGAGCUAAUACCGGAUGAUAUAUUGAACCGCAUGGUUCAAUAGUGAAAUACGGUUUUGCUUUCACUUAUAGAUGGAUCCGCGCCGCAUUAGCUAGUUGGUAAGGUAACGGCUUACCAAGGCAACGAUGCGCAGCCGCCCUGAGAGGGUGAUCGGCCACACUGGAACUGAGACACGGUCCAGACUCCUACGGGAGGCAGCAGUAGGGAAUCUUCCGCAACGGGCGAAAGCUUGACGGAGCAACGCCGCGUGAGUGAUGCAGGUCUUCGGAUCGUAAAACUCCGUGAUUAGGGAAGAACAAAUGUGUAAGUAACUAUGCACGUCUUGACGGUACCUAAUCAGAAAGCCACGGCUAACUACGUG
rnacentral:rRNA from 1 species